ensembl:lncRNA
ACAUACCUGAACUUGUCUGACAGAGUUGAGUGAUGUCCAGAUGUGUGGUCUGGUUUCUGAUGGGAUUGUUGAGCACACAGCUGUAGGUGUUUUUCUCCUGAUAUUCCACCUCCAGAGUGUAAUUUGUUGAUGUUUGUGAUGGUCAGAGAUCCUGUCUGCUCAUCUAUCUUUAGUCUGUCUCUGAAUCUCUCAUUAUUCUCUUUAUUAUCAUAUAUAGAGACGAUCUGUUUAUAGAUUUCACCGAUACGAGUCUCUGAACUGUUAAGUCUAAAUGACCACAGUAUCUGAUCAUCUCUCUGUAGUUCAGUAACAUCAGUGUUUAAAGUGACAGAAUCUCCCUCCAUCACUGAUAUCACUGUUUCAUCUGAAUAAACAUCACACACACC